AGAAAGUUAGUCUAACCAAGACAGUUGAUUUCGACUCAACAGAUUAUAGCUCGAACCCUAUAACUUUCUU
rnacentral:tRNA from 4 species